GCUGGGUGUGGUGGCGGGCGCCUGUAGUCCCAGCUACUCGGGAGGCUGAGGUGGGAGAAUGGCAUGAACCUGGGAGGCGGAGCUUGCAGUGAGCUGAGAUUGUGCCACUGCACUCCAGCCUGGGUGACAGAGUGAGACUCCAAACAGAGUGAGACUCCGAGCAGAGUGAGACUCUGAGCUCUGUCACCCAGGCUGGAGUGCAGUGGCGCGAUCUCGGCUCACUGCAAGCUCCUCUUCCCGGAUUCAUGCCAUUCUCCUGU
rnacentral:SRP_RNA from 10 species